CCCUUCGCGCACAAGGGGAAAGAGCGAGAGAAAAGUGGAUCUUGAACACAAACGAGGUACAGCCUAAUUACGCGGGCGUUUCAUUGAACCAAACGACGCGACGGCGGCUGCGAGGAUGACAACUUCGCGAACUAGAAAUAACGCUCUUCUAAUAACGCGAUCGCUUUAACGCUGUAGCGGAUUAAGGCCCAAAUCACGGCGAUGAUGAUGGAAAAACCGACGUACAACCAGGGGUCGACGGAGUCGUUCAUGAUCCAGACAGGGAACAACGAUCCUUUCAAGUUUUUCUCAGUGACUUCGGAACCCGAAUCGCUGCCGGUGAGAAAAUGGCGCCUCGAUGUAGCUCUUCCUGGAGUCAGGUCGUGUUAGCGGAAAUGAAGAGUUCAGGGCGAUCGAUGGCCCUCGUGUUGCCCUUUUUUCGAGCAGGACCGGUGGGCUCUUGAUUUUUUGGCGGAUCAAAGGCGUCGGAGAACCGAAGCAAUACGAUUUUCGAGCUGAGUAAGUAACGUUCAAGCUCAGCUCAAAUGUCAAUGUUCUGUCGUAUGCAAUCAAUGGAAUAAGAAAAGCCUAUAUUCGGUUGCCGAGCAUCAGUAGAUCCGAGGCCGAUAAACACGACAUCGAUGGGAUUGAAGACAAAUAUUUGGAACUGCCAAAGCUAUAAUUUAUCACGUUUCAUCGAUUAGAUUGUAGAACAAUAUUUCUGAAAAAGCAUUUAGAUAAAACUCUUGACGAUUGAAGAUUGUAUGGAGUAAAACUCGAAUGAGUCAUUUUUAGUUAAAUGAGAA